AGAGUUUGAUCCUGGCUCAGAGCAAACGCUAGCGGCGAGCUUAACACAUGCAAGUCGAACGAGAAAAGGAGAAUCCGGAAAGGGAGCAAUCCUGAGUAGGGAGGAAUCCCAAGUAAAGUGGCAAAAGGGUGAGUAACGCGUAGGUCAUCUGCCUUCAAGACUGGAAUAACCUAUCUAAAGAUGGGCUAAUACGAGAUAAAGUCGAGUCAAUCGACCAAAGGGGAGCGAAAGCUUCCUGCUUGAAGAAGAGCCUGCGUCUGAUUAGCUAGUUGGUGGGGUAAAGGCCUACCAAGGCAAUGAUCAGUAGCUGGUCUGAGAGGACGGACAGCCACACUGGAACUGAGACAAGGUCCAGACUCCUACGGGAGGCAGCAGUGGGGAAUCUUGCGCAAUGGACGAAAGUCUGACGCAGCUAAGCCGCGUGAGUGAAGAAGGCCGAGAGGUUGUAAAACUCUGUCAGAGGUGAAGAAGGGUGAAAGCCUUGACGUUAGCCUCAAAGGAAGCACCGGCUAACUCCGUGCCAGCAGCCGCGGUAAGACGGAGGGUGCCAGCGUUGCUCGGAAUGAUUGGGCAUAAAGGGUCGGUAGGUGGUUUCAUCAGUCUUAGGUGAAAGCCUUGAACUUAAUUCAAGAAUGGCCUAAGAAACAAUGAGACUAGAGGUCGGGAGAGGGUCGUGGAAUUCCCGGUGGAGCGGUGAAAUGCGUAGAGAUCGGGAGGAACACCAGUGGCGAAAGCGGCGACCUAGAACGUACCUGACACUGAACGACGAAAGCGUGGGGAGCAAACAGGAUUAGAUACCCUGGUAGUCCACGCCGUAAACGAUGGGUACUAUGUCGAGCAAGACUUGAUCCUUGCUCGGUAGAAGCAAAUGCAACAAGUACCCCGCCUGAGAAGUACGGACGCAAGUCUAAAACUCAAAGGAAUUGACGGGGGCCCGCACAAGCGGUGGAUCAUGUGGUUUAAUUCGAAGCAACGCGCAAAACCUUACCUGGAUUUGACAUCUCCUGAAGGCUGAAGCAAUUCAGAGGGCUAGGGAGAGUUAAUCUCCCAGACAGGAAGACAGGUGCUGCAUGGCUGUCGUCAGCUCGUGUGGUGACAUGUAGGGUUCAGUCCUGAAACGAGCGCAACCCUUGUCCUUAGUUGCCAGCAAGUCAAGUUGGGGACUCUAAGGAGACUGCCGUGGAAGAAACACGGAGGAAGGUGGGGAUGACGUCAGGUCCUUAUGGCCUUUAUGUCCAGGGCUACACACGUGAUACAAUGGAGAGUACAAAGGGAAGCAAGAAGGUGACUUGGAGCCAACCCCAAAAAGCUCUUCUCAGUUCGGAUUGGAGUCUGCAACCCGACUCCAUGAAGGUGGAAUCGCUAGUAAUCGCGGAUCAGCACGCCGCGGUGAAUACUGUUCUCGGGCCUUGUACACACCGCCC
rnacentral:rRNA from 1 species